rnacentral:rRNA from 1 species
AUUGAACGCUGGCGGCAUGCCUUACACAUGCAAGUCGAGCGGCAGCACGGGAGCAAUCCUGGUGGCGAGUGGCGAACGGGUGAGUAAAGUAUCGGAACGUGCCCAGUCGUGGGGGAUAACGUAGCGAAAGUUACGCUAAUACCGCAUACGAUCCAUGGAUGAAAGCGGGGGAUCGCAAGACCUCGCGCGAUUGGAGCGGCCGAUAUUAGAUUAGGUAGUUGGUGGGGUAAAGGCUCACCAAGCCGACGAUCUGUAGCUGGUCUGAGAGGACGACCAGCCACACUGGGACUGAGCAACGGCCCAGACUCCUACGGGAGGCAGCAGUGGGGAAUUUUGGACAAUGGGCGAAAGCCUGAUCCAGCCAUGCCGCGUGCAGGAUGAAGGCCUUCGGGUUGUAAACUGCUUUUGUACGGAACGAAAAGGUUUGGCCUAAUAAGCUGAGCUCAUGACGGUACCGUAAGAAUAAGCACCGGCUGACUACGUGCCAGCCGCCGCUGUAA